UUGAAUUCCAUUCUUUUUAGCUCUUUGUUUAUCUUUGCAGAGGUUUCAAAUGUCUCUUACAGGGUUAAGACCUACAAAAAGGAUGGCAACACUUGGAAUUAUUUACACAACAGACUCACUUCUACAAAAUAUGACUAAGAUUGUUUGCCUCCAUUGACCCACGUUCAGUAUUUUUAACUAUAAACCCCUGUACAGUAAACCAUGCUGAAUUAUGUGCACCAAUUUUUCAAAAUCAGGGUAGUUUUCCCCAUGCUUCAUCUCUGAAACAAAGUUGGUGACCUCCAAUUUGUUUUACAUUUCUGACACAAGUAACUCAUUAUCUGACUGCAGAAAAAAAUUAAAAAAGAUCCAUUGACUGGAAAGUUUUCGCGUGAACGUCCUUAAUUGCUUAAACGUUGCCAAGAUCAAAGAUCAUCUCAUCUGUUCAAAAACAGUUAUUUUUUUUAAAAAGCCUCUCAUUCAAAAUCUAAUUUUAACCCAACUGUAGAUCAACAAGCAAGACCUUAUUGGAAACACAGCCUUGCAUAUUGCUUGUGAACAUGAUCAGGGUAAAAUGAAAAUAUUCCUUGUUGAUCAAGGAGCAGAUACAACUGUAGUGAACUCAGAUGGUGAAACUCCUGCUGUUUAGAUAGUGAUAAAUUACAGUACUAUAGCUGCAUUUUUAUAACUAUCGAGUAUAUCCGAGUGGCCAUUGGAAAGUUCACAGUUUGAUCAACUUGGCUAAGCAGAACAUGAACAUGUUUUUUCACAUGCUAUUCAAUGCUGAAACGAGUACACUGCUUUCUGCCCAUUCUGUUGACUUUAUUAACCACCAGAAACCAAUGCUGACAUUCUGGUGAUAUUGUGAAACAGAAACAGAACUUGGGUUGCUGCUCCCAUUGACAAUAUGUUUUUUUUUCUUUUCUGUCAAUUCAAGGCAAUUGAAUGUAUUGUUCUGAUGUAAACUAUAAUUUUAAAAUCUUAAUCCUUCUUAGAUCUCUUGGUGUUGAAAACAAUUUACUUUUGGAACUUUACAGUCUUUAAUCAGGGGUUUCAUGAAUGUUUUUAGUAGGAGGGCAACUGGUUUUCACAGGCAAGCAAAACCUUUUUGAACUGGGCUUCUGUAGAAGAAAAGCUUUCCUUUAGACGGUCAAACCAGGUGGGCAAAAUCAUCCUCACAGCCAGUUAGUUUGCCCAAUGCCUGGCUCUUAAUGAAACCUGCAAUUUAAUUAUCUCAACAUGUGGAUUUGUGACAUCAAAACUCCAGUUGAUCUAUUGAGUCAUAUACAUCUGUGGUGCUAUUUAAGCAUUUGAAAGAUCAGCUAGUUGACAAAUGGCAAAAGUCUUUUCUCUUAUAAGUUGUGCUAUUUUGUGUCGCUUGCAUCAGUAGUGCCAUGUGUAACUGUCCAGUAUUAUUCACUGUUUUGUGUCAUUGAACAAGCCUGUACAAUGUAUACUUGUGUCUUGUGUAUUUCUGUACACCUAAGGAUUAAUAUUCAGUCUCGAAACACAAACAAGAAGUUCUAGUUAGUAUAAAAUGGAUGAUACCUCCACACUAAACACCUUUUGGGUGCAAAAUGUUACUUCUGUUAUGCCACGUUGUGAUGUCAAGUGUCUCGCAGACUGAGCAUUCUUCAAAAUCUCUUCAAACCAAAAUAUACCAACGACAAGUACAGGAUAACUUUAGUUGCUAAAUAUGUUCUAACAGAAAAAGUUUUUGUAAAAUGAAAGCACAUUUUACCAUUUUACUGUCUGUGCUGUUGAAAAUUCACAGAUUGUCAGUUGUUUAUUCUUUGAUAGCUGACUGAUAACAGAGUGUGGGAACAGCCAUGUUCCUUUAACAUGGGUCCAGACCUUCUUGGUUAAAAGCAUUGCAACACUCUUUAAAGGAGCUCAGUCAUGGUAUUUUGAGUUAUUUUGGCCACAUACAAAAUUACCUUUAAAUUGAUGGAAAC
rnacentral:lncRNA from 1 species